CAUACACAAGCAAUGCAACCGUUACACACAAUGCAUCCCUUACACACACAGAAACACACAUUGCAUUCAUUACACACACUCAAUGCACCCCUUACACACAUUCAAUGCAUCCCAUACAUACACAGAAACACACCUUGCAGUCCUUACACAUACAAACACAAUUUCACACAAUGCAUUCCUUACACACAUAUCAGGACAUCCCCUACACACUCCACCCCCUGUGAACAAACUCAUUGGUGGAACAUGAAG